UCGGUGCAAUGAACGAUCGCGUUAAUACGAGGAAAGUCCGAGCUGCUCUAAGAUGUAGUUCCAUUUAACGAAUGGCUGGGGUAACCCAAGGGAUAGUGCAACAGAAAGUAAACUACCACUUUAUUUUGAUGAGGUGGAAAAGGUGAAAUGGUGGGGUAAGAGCCUACCAGCGUUUUUGGUAACAUCAACGGCUUUGCAAACCCAACUUGCAGCAAGAAGGGAUGGUUUAAUCUUAGAAUAAAACCCUUCGCUUGAACUAAAUUGUAAAAUUUAGUCUAGAUAAAUGAUCGUUUGAAAAACAGAACUCGGCUUAUAGUUGCACCGAAAUU
rfam:Campylobacter ureolyticus ACS-301-V-Sch3b genomic scaffold acmbC-supercont1.2, whole genome shotgun sequence.